rnacentral:lncRNA from 10 species
CCCGGUACCUCAGAUGGAAACGCAGAAAUCACCCGUUUUUCUGCGUCGCUCACGCUGGGAGCUGUAGACAUGAGCUGUUCCUAUUCGGCCAUCUUGGCUCCUCCCCACGAAGAUGGUGAAUUAGAGGCUUUUAGCAUGUCUUAGCCACUUGGAAAUUCAUAAAGAUAAACUCUGUGAGCUUUAAUUUAAGAAGAAAAAUGGGAAAUCCACAAGAAUUGUGAAGGACACCUCAGAUCCCAGGAAGGAGAAUUCAGGCAAAAAGCCCCCAUGCUGGCAUCAGGCGGAUAAGGAUUUCAGUCAAGGAGAUGCCUACCUGGGGACAGAAUCUGGAAAAGACCUCAAAAUAGAUCUUCUCAAGGCACCCGGAGGCAAACGAGGCAUAGACACACUAGGAUAAAAGCUGUCUUCAAGUCAGAGCCCUCCCUAGGGCUCCAGGCAGAGCAAAGGACCAGAUCUCCCCCUCUGCACUCCCCACCUACAGAUGAGCACCCAGGCAGGGGACACUCAAAGCAGGUGAAUGAGACAGGGGGGGCAUGCAGAAGCCUUGAUCUCCGAGUGGUCUGUGGCCGUGAGGUGGAGAGAUACAACUGCUUUGUCGAGGACCCAAGGGAAAACCGAGCCGUGGCUGUCUGAGUCUUAUCAAAGGAAAAACGGAGUCAAUGUUCUGGGUGGCUCACAGGAAUUAAUCAUGGCAGUAACACCAUGAGCAGGGUCACUGUGAACUGUUAUGCAGGCAUGUUCUGCGGAAAGGGUCCACUUGGCUGAGAGGCAUGCUUCUUGCCGAAUCAUGAGUGCAGGUGUGGAGCUGUGUCCACUUGGAGGAAGGAAGACCUUUUGCUAAUGCAUAUCCAGGAUAUAAGCUGCUACAGGGCAGGGCUUUUUGUCUAUCCUGUUCCCUGAUGGAUCCCAAGUGCCUGAUCCAGUGCCUUGCACAGAGUCUCUCAGGCUGCCCUCACCCCUGGGGGAAGUGGGGGAUGAAUUUGGCAGAGCUGGCCUCAGGAGGUGGAUGGCCUUGCUUCAGAGGCUCUCUGUCAAAACUCUUUCUACUGCUCAAUCAUCUUCCUGGGAAAAAAUAUCAGAUGGCAGGAUCGAGAGGGAGCAGUGUUGCCUGGACAGUGUGGGAAGUAAAUGGCACAGUAUGGGAUUAAAGAAGGAUAUUUGGUAAGUCCUGAACUUGUGUCCCACAAUCAGUUUUCCUCAGACAGGACAAUAAGACACUGCAGGCCUCAGAAGGAUCAAAGUAAAUCAGCCAUGCCUAGCAUAUACUGAAACCAUAUCUGCAAGUUCUGAAGAUCAUGGAACACACAGAAUGUUUGUUGAAUUCAUAUCAAGAUGAAUGAAAAUAAGCGUGGAAAAGAAACUAAGAAGUGAUUAUUCUGUUGUUUUCCAAGCUGGGCAAACCACAUGUGUAGCAAGGCUGGCAUUUGUCCUGAAUCACUAUGUUUCCAGGACCACAGACACCCAGGAGUAUAGUCAGAAGUAGGUACGUGGAUCUCAAAACAAUGUUAUAAGAAAGCUUGAAGGAAUGGAGAACAUUUAGCCCAGGAGAGCAUCCAUGGGACAUGACUAUUAUUUUCAGAAAAUGGAAGGCUCUUGAUGUAGGGCAGGGAAUCACAAUUGUUUUGUAUGGCCUCAAGGAGCACUGGAGCCAUGCAUGUGAAUUGCAUUUUAGCUUAGAAUUUAAACUUCGGAAAACAUUCUAAUAAUAGAGCUUUUAAAUAUAGAAUAGGCAGACUCAGUAGGAAGUCAGCCAUCUACAAGUAAAGGUCUUCAGCAUGUGCUCUAUCAGGUGACAGAUUCAAAAGUUAGUCUGGAUUACCUUUAAAGGAAAAAAUUAUUUGAUUCUAUGAAAGGGGGGAGAAAAGUCACUAUAUUAGUUGGAGUAAGGGCUCCAUAACAGAGACUCAACAAUUCAAUCACAUAAAGGGCCAGGAAAUUGAUGACUCUCUCCCAGAACACUGCAAGGCAGGUAGGCAGCCUCUGCUUCAUAAAACCAUCAUGGGAACCAGGCUGGGGUGGGAGAACCUCAAUGUGAGGCUUCUGAGGCAAACCCGGUUGUCAACCAUAUCCAGUCAGUGGGAGGAAACAGGCGAAGUCCAGGACUGGAUACUGCUUAUUAACCAUGGAAUACAGAAGUUGCACGCAUUACUUCUACUCCUGUUCCAUUGGUGUAUCUGGUCUCCUGACUACAUUUCACUGCAAGGGAUGCUGGGAAGUGUACUCUGAGCCAAGCAGCCAGGAAGAAAAAAAAUGAAUUGAGAAUCCCAUGGCAGACUUGUGAUGGACAUCCCAAUUAUCCUGAUUUGAUCAUUACACGUUGCAUGUAGGUAUCCGAAUAUCACAUAUACCCCAAAAAUAUGUACAACUAUUAUAUAUAAAUAAAAAAAAUUUUAAACAGCACACUUGGCUACAGUCAUCUAUCAAACUAUCUGUCAAUUGUUUAUACAUCUAUUACUAUAUUAAUAAUAAACACCAAUGUGUUAUAUUAAUAUUAAUAAAUUACUACAGUUAAAAACACUGCUUUAAAGCCAUUCUGCCUGGUUAUGACACCUAACUCCACCA